AAAAGGAAAAAAAAAAAAAAAAAAAAAAAAAAAAAAAAA
rnacentral:ribozyme from 13 species